rnacentral:tRNA from 1 species
CGUAGCUCAAUGGUAGAGCGUCUGGCUGUUAACCAGAAUGUUGCAGGUUCGAGCCCUGCCG